GAUGGACGCUGGCGGUAUGCUUAACACAUGCAAGUCGAACGGUCACUUCGGUGAUAGUGGCGGACGGGUGAGUAACGCGUGAGAAUCUGUCUUCAGAUCGGGGACAACAGUUAGAAAUGACUGCUAAUACCGGAUGUGCCUUUGGGUGAAAGAUUUAUUGCCUGAAAAAGAGCUCGCGUCAGAUUAGCUAGUAGGUGGUGUAAGAGACUACCUAGGCUCCGAUCUGUAGCUGGUCUGAGAGGACGAUCAGCCACACUGGAACUGAGACACGGUCCAGACUCCUACGGGAGGCAGCAGUGGGGAAUUUUCCGCAAUGGGCGAAAGCCUGACGGAGCAAUACCGCGUGAGGGACGAAGGCUUUUGGGUCGUAAACCUCUUUUCUCAAGGAAGAUGAUGACGGUACUUGAGGAAUAAGCAUCGGCUAACUCUGUG
rnacentral:rRNA from 1 species